rnacentral:rRNA from 1 species
GAUGAACGCUGGCGGCGUGCCUAAUACAUGCAAGUCGAGCGAACAGACGAGGAGCUUGCUCCUCUGACGUUAGCGGCGGACGGGUGAGUAACACGUGGAUAACCUACCUAUAAGACUGGGAUAACUUCGGGAAACCGGAGCUAAUACCGGAUAAUAUAUUGAACCGCAUGGUUCAAUAGUGAAAGACGGUUUUGCUGUCACUUAUAGAUGGAUCCGCGCCGCAUUAGCUAGUUGGUAAGGUAACGGCUUACCAAGGCGACGAUGCGUGGCCGACCCGAGAGGGUGAUCGGCCACACUGGAACUGAGACACGGUCCAGACUCCUACGGGAGGCAGCAGUAGGGAAUCUUCCGCAAUGGGCGAAAGCCUGACGGAGCAACGCCGCGUGAGUGAUGAAGGUCUUCGGAUCGUAAAACUCUGUUAUUAGGGAAGAACAAAUGUGUAAGUAACUAUGCACGUCUUGACGGUACCUAAUCAGAAAGCCACGGCUAACUACGUG